rnacentral:rRNA from 1 species
GAUAAACGCUGGCGGCGCACAUAAGACAUGCAAGUUGAACGGACUUAAUCGAAAUAUUUAUAUUUUGAAGCGGUUAGUGGCGGACUGGUGAGUAACGCGUAAGGAACCUGCCUAUUAGAGGGGAAUAACAGUGAGAAAUCAUUGCUAAUACCGCAUAUGCCAUAGAUAUCACAUGAUAACAGUGGGAAAGGAGCAAUCCGCUAAUAGAUGGCCUUGCGUCUGAUUAGAUAGUUGGUGGGGUAACGGCCUACCAAGUCGACGAUCAGUAGCCGGACUGAGAGGUUGGACGGACACAUAGGGACUGAGAUACGGCCCAGACUCCUGCGGGAGGAAGCAGUCGGGAAUAUUGCGCAAUGGAGGAAACUCUGACGCAGUGACGCCGCGUAUAGGAAGAAGGUUUUCGGAUUGUAAACUAUUGUCGUUAGGGAAGAGAAAGGACAGUACCUAAGGAGGAAGCUCCGGCUAACUACGUG